CUCAUCGUUCACGACCAACGUUCGCGCGCUCUUCAUCGCCGGUCCGCCAAAAGUACAAGCAUGAAAAAACGUAACAACAUAGCAAUAAAAAGGACUCAAAAGUUUGAAAGCCGCAAAAGAAAUGGUAUCCGAAUGCCGAAGGAGAAAUUUCUAGAUCAAUUUUGCUGAAGACAUUAUUAACAAUUCUAUAAGGAUAAAGUAUAAGAGAGAC